rnacentral:rRNA from 1 species
UACUCCUACGGGAGGCAGCAGUGGGGAAUUUUGCGCAAUAGGGGAAACCCUGACGCAGCAACGCCGCGUGAGUGAUGAAGGCUUUCGGGUCGUAAAGCUCUGUCAGAAGGGAAGAAAUGUGGGCGGCUAAUAUCUGUUCCACUUGACGGUACCUUCAAAGGAAGCACCGGCUAACUCCGUGCCAGCAGCCGCGGUAAUACGGAGGGUGCGAGCGUUGUUCGGAAUUAUUGGGCGUAAAGCGCGUGUAGGCGGCUUGUUAAGUCUGAUGUGAAAGCCCUGGGCUCAACCUGGGAAGUGCAUUGGAUACUGGCAGACUUGAGUACGGGAGAGGGUAGUGGAAUUCCUAGUGUAGGAGUGAAAUCCGUAGAUAUUAGGAGGACCACCGGUGGCGAAGGCGGCUGCCUGGACCGAUACUGA